AGCAGCCGCGGUAAUUCCAGCUCCAAUAGCGUAUAUUAAAGUUGUUGCAGUUAAAAAGCUCGUAGUUGAAUUUCGGGGUCAGUAGGCUGGUCGUGCCUCAGGUACGUACUGGUCUUACUGAUUCCUCCUUCCUGACGAACCGUAAUGCCAUUAAUUUGGUGUUGCGGGGAAUCUGGACUGUUACUUUGAAAAAAUUAGAGUGUUUAAAGCAGGCUAACGCUUGAAUACAUUAGCAUGGAAUAAUGAAAUAGGACGAUCGAUCCUAUUUUGUUGGUUUCUAGGAUUGACGUAAUGAUUAAUAGGGAUAGUUGGGGGCAUUAGUAUUCAAUUGUCAGAGGUGAAAUUCUUGGAUUUAUUGAAGACUAACUACUGCGAAAGCAUUUGCCAAGGAUGUUUUCAUUAAUCAAGAACGAAAGUUAGGGGAUCGAAGACGAUCAGAUACCGUCGUAGUCUUAACCAUAAACUAUGCCGACUAGGGAUCGGAUGAUGUAAUUUUUAAUGACUCAUUCGGCGCCUUACA
rnacentral:rRNA from 1 species